rnacentral:lncRNA from 1 species
UCUUCCUCCAUAUCUUCUAUCACUUUGGAGUAUCCAAGAUACUUGUAGAUGAAGAAAGAGGUCAGCUGUCGAAGUUGUUCGCAGACUAGCAUCUUUGAGCCCCGGAUCUGUGCCAGUCUUCGCAUGAAUUUUUCUAUAAAAGCUAGACAACUUCGUGUGGCUACGAGCGAUCUAAGGAAUACCCUCUCCAACCAUUAGAUCNNNNN